CUGAGCUCUCGCGCUUUUGCUCUGCGCUAGGUGGAGAUUCCAAUAUUCUGUAGCUUGAAAACAACAUAAACGUAGCUACAAAUUUUGGAUACAGCUUAACCCGGUCCUGACACUUAACCUCUUUUGAGAUGGCGUCCUUCAACCAUCUACGACUCCAGACCAGAACUCCGCUGGAUCAUACAGGGAUCUUGAAGAAUCAUGACUUGAGUAAAGCUAAACUCAGUGCUGUCCACUCAUCCAAAAGAGGUUCUGAGAAUCUGGACCCUAAUUCCUCAAGUGAAGCGGGAAAGUGUGUGAAUAAAUUGAGAGGUGUCAGCAGGCUUCCAGUCCUUGCCAAAUCUCUCAAACCAGGUCUAACUGACCUAACCCAAAAUCCCAGAUGGGAACAGAGGCCUC